rnacentral:rRNA from 1 species
CGGGGUACACGAGUGGCGAACGGGUGAGUAACACGUGGGUAAUCUGCCCUGCAGNCAUUGGGAUAAGCCUGGGAAACUGGGUCUAAUACCGAAUAGGACCACAGAACUCAUGUCCUGUGGUGGAAAGCUUUUGCGGUGUGGGAUGGGCCCGCGGCCUAUCAGCUUGUUGGUGGGGUGAUGGCCCACCAAGGCGACGACGGGUAGCCGGCCUGAGAGGGUGUCCGGCCACACUGGGACUGAGAUACGGCCCAGACUCCUACGGGAGGCAGCAGUGGGGAAUAUUGCACAAUGGGCGAAAGCCUGAUGCAGCGACGCCGCGUGGGGGAUGACGGCCUUCGGGUUGUAAACCUCUUUCACCAUCGACGAAGGUUCGGGUUUUCUCGGAUUGACGGUAGGUGGAGAAGAAGCACCGGCCAACUACGUGCCAGCAGCCGCGGUAAUACGUAGGGUGCGAGCGUUGUCCGGAAUUACUGGGCGUAAAGAGCUCGUAGGUGGUUUGUCGCGUUGUUCGUGAAAUCUCACGGCUUAACUGUGAGCGUGCGGGCGAUACGGGCAGACUUGAGUACUGCAGGGGAGACUGGAAUUCCUGGUGUAGCGGUGGAAUGCGCAGAUAUCAGGAGGAACACCGGUGGCGAAGGCGGGUCUCUGGGCAGUAACUGACGCUGAGGAGCGAAAGCGUGGGGAGCGAACAGGAUUAGAUACCCUGGUAGUCCACGCCGUAAACGGUGGGUACUAGGUGUGGGUUUCCUUCCUUGGGAUCCGUGCCGUAGCUAACGCAUUAAGUACCCCGCCUGGGGAGUACGGCCGCAAGGCUAAAACUCAAAGAAAUUGACGGGGGCCCGCACAAGCGGCGGAGCAUGUGGAUUAAUUCGAUGCAACGCGAAGAACCUUACCUGGGUUUGACAUGCACAGGACGCCGGCAGAGAUGUCGGUUCCCUUGUGGCCUGUGUGCAGGUGGUGCAUGGCUGUCGUCAGCUCGUGUCGUGAGAUGUUGGGUUAAGUCCCGCAACGAGCGCAACCCUUGUCUCAUGUUGCCAGCGGGUAAUGCCGGGGACUCGUGAGAGACUGCCGGGGUCAACUCGGAGGAAGGUGGGGAUGACGUCAAGUCAUCAUGCCCCUUAUGUCCAGGGCUUCACACAUGCUACAAUGGCCGGUACAAAGGGCUGCGAUGCCGCGAGGUUAAGCGAAUCCUUUUAAAGCCGGUCUCAGUUCGGAUCGGGGUCUGCAACUCGACCCCGUGAAGUCGGAGUCGCUAGUAAUCGCAGAUCAGCAACGCUGCGGUGAAUACGUUCCCGGGCCUUGUACACACCGCNUCCCGUCACGUACAUGAAAGUCGGUAACACCCGAAGCC